rnacentral:lncRNA from 1 species
UUUUUUUCUCUCAUUUCCAUGGGGAUUUCACUCAUCCAAAGUGUUGUGAAGGUUAGCUACUUCAUCCUCUUGUUAUGCCUUGUUUUAUGCUUUAGAGAGGGAGAAAAAUGAGUUUGUUUGUUAGAAAGAGGGAGAAUGAAGAGGAUUUGUAUUUAUACAUGUUUUUGAGCUAGAAUGUGAUGGAUUGUUUGCUUGUUAUGUACUAUUCGUAUUAGUUAAAAUAACUUGAUGUGUCGAAUGGAGAUGGAUAGUUUAUUUGCUAGAAUGUGAAGUAGAAAAUGGAGAGGGUUUUGAGCUAGAAUGUGAGGGAGAAUGGAGAGUAAAUGUGAGGUAGAAUGGAGAGGAUUUCAAUAUUAAUUAUGAGGAAAAAGUUAGUAUGUCAUAUGUGUCAUAUAUAAUAUGUAUCCUUGCAGUGGUUUAAGAAUGAUGCUACCCUUAUCUAGAUGAUUUAUCUUCUCAAAUUCAAUAUGGUUUUUCAAAUCCAUAUUUGUUGAACUUGCAUACCGUGUUCAUCUUGGCGAGCAUGUUCUCCGCCGAGCAACAAUGGAUGUCAAGGAGGAGCUCUAAUUCUAUGAGGAAGAACGGCAAUGGAUAUCGUGGAAGACCGUGUCCCCUUCCUCGUAGAAUCGAAGCUCUUCCAUUGUGAAGUACGGUGCCACCCGGUGGAGAAAUGCUUGCCAAGAUGUUC